rnacentral:misc_RNA from 1 species
UACGAACCGGACGAACGUUAUUCGGAAUCACUGGGCUUAAAGGGUGCGUAGGCGGCCUGGCAGGUGGGGUGUGAAAUCCCUCGGCUCAACCGAGGAACUGCGCUCCAAACCGUCAGGCUUGAGGGAGACAGGGGUGAGCGGAACUAGCGGUGGAGCGGUGAAAUGCGUUGAUAUCGCUGGGAACACCAGUGGCGAAGGCGGCUCACUGGGUCUCUUCUGACGCUGAGGCACGAAAGCUAGGGGAGCGAACGGG